rnacentral:misc_RNA from 1 species
CCGCUGUACUGUUGGUGGUGACGCAACCGGAGACAACAUUUUUCAGGGCUGUGACCAUGACGGCGAAUUCUUGCUCUUGGGUAAGGCGAGGUGGUGAAAGUGGANNNNNNNGUCGUUCUCCGGAGAUCCAGUGAGUUUUCGCUUUGAUGGCUUGUGCAUGCUUGAUUUGGGUGAUGUUGAGAGAGAAAUCUGAAAUCUGUUGUUUGCGUUUCG